rnacentral:rRNA from 1 species
GGGGAAUAUUGGACAAUGGGGGAAACCCUGAUCCAGCCAUGCCGCGUGUGCGAUGAAGGCUUUCGGGUUGUAAAGCACUUUCAGUCGGGAGGAAAGGGUGCAGGCUAAUACCCUGUGCAGUUGACGUUACCGACAGAAGAAGCACCGGCAAACUCCGUGCCAGCAGCCGCGGUAAUACGGAGGGUGCGAGCGUUAAUCGGAAUUACUGGGCGUAAAGCGCGCGUAGGCGGUUACUUAAGCGAGAUGUGAAAUCCCCGGGCUUAACCUGGGCACUGCAUUUCGAACUGGGUGACUGGAGUUUUGGAGAGGAGAGUGGAAUUCCCGGUGUAGCGGUGAAAUGCGUAGAGAUCGGGAGGAACAUCAGUGGCGAAGGCGGCUCUCUGGCCAAAAACUGACGCUGAGGCGCGAAAGCGUGGGGAUCAAAC